rnacentral:rRNA from 1 species
GACGAACGCUGGCGGCGUGCUUAACACAUGCAAGUCGAACGAAGAGCGAUGGAAGCUUGCUUCUAUCAAUCUUAGUGGCGAACGGGUGAGUAACGCGUAAUCAACCUGCCCUUCAGAGGGGGACAACAGUUGGAAACGACUGCUAAUACCGCAUACGAUCUAACCUCGGCAUCGAGGAAAGAUGAAAGGUGGCCUCUAUGUAUAAGCUAUCACUGAAGGAGGGGAUUGCGUCUGAUUAGCUAGUUGGAGGGGUAACGGCCCACCAAGGCGAUGAUCAGUAGCCGGUCUGAGAGGAUGAACGGCCACAUUGGGACUGAGACACGGCCCAGACUCCUACGGGAGGCAGCAGUGGGGAAUCUUCCGCAAUGGACGAAAGUCUGACGGAGCAACGCCGCGUGAGUGAUGACGGCCUUCGGGUCGUAAAGCUCUGUUAAUCGGGACGAAAGGCCUUCUUGCGAAUAGUGAGAAGGAUUGACGGUACCGGAAUAGAAAGCCACGGCUAACUACGUG